AAAAAGAAAAACCCUGGAUUUCCGUGUCCAACGUUUGACCGUCCGUCUUAUUUUAAAAAAUUAUAAAAAAAGACAAGUCACGUAUAAAGUAUUAAUCAUAUUUUAUCAUCUAACAACAAUGAAAAUAGUAAUUAUAAAAAAUUUUCAUAUAAGACGGACAAUCAAACGUUGGACACGAAAACCCAGAGUUUAUCUUUUU
rnacentral:pre_miRNA from 1 species